UACGGAGGAUCCGAGCGUUAUCCGGAUUUAUUGGGUUUAAAGGGUGCGCAGGCGGAAUAUUAAGUCGGCGGUGAAAUUUUGCAGCUUAACUGUAAAAGUGCCUUCGAAACUGGUUUUCUUGAGUGUAGAUGAAGUAGGCGGAAUUUGUGGUGUAGCGGUGAAAUGCAUAGAUAUCACGAGGAACUCCUAUUGCGCAGGCAGCUUACUAAACUACUACUGACGCUCAUGCACGAAGGCGUGGGGAUCAAACAGGAUUAGAUACCCUGGUAGUCCACGCAGUAAACGAUGAUUACUCGCUGUUUGCGAUACAAUGUAAGCGGCCAAGCGAAAGCGUUAAGUAAUCCACCUGGGGAGUACGUUCGCAAGAAUGAAACUCAAAGGAAUUGACGGGGGCCCGCACAAGCGGAGGAACAUGUGGUUUAAUUCGAUGAUACGCGAGGAACCUUACCCGGGCUUGAAAUGCAUUUGACCGGCCGCGAAAACGGCCUUCCCUUCGGGGCAGAUGUGUAGGUGCUGCAUGGUU
rnacentral:rRNA from 1 species